UAUUGGAUCGGUAUUUGUUCUUCCGGUACAUAAGAGGUAAGCUAUCGGCUAACUACGUGCCAGCAGCCGCGGUAAUACGUAGGUGGCUUGCGUUGUCCGGAAUUAUUGGGCGUAAAGGGCUCGCAGGCGGUUUCUUAAGUCUGAUGUGAAAGCCCCCGGCUCAACCGGGGAGGGUCAUUGGAAACUGGGGAACUUGAGUGCAGAAGAGGAGAGUGGAAUUCCACGUGUAGCGGUGAAAUGCGUAGAGAUGUGGAGGAACACCAGUGGCGAAGGCGACUCUCUGGUCUGUAACUGACGCUGAGGAGCGAAAGCGUGGGGAGCGAACAGGAUUAGAUACCCUGGUAGUCCACGCCGUAAACGAUGAGUGCUAAGUGUUAGGGGGUUUCCGCCCCUUAGUGCUGCAGCUAACGCAUAAGCACUCCUACGUGGAGACCGCACGGC
rnacentral:rRNA from 1 species